GCCAGUCAUGGUGGUGCACGCCUGUAAUCCCAGCAGCUUGGGAGGCAGAGGCAGGAGGAUAGUGGGUUCAAAGCCAGCCUCAGGAAAAGCAAGGCACUAAGCAACUCAGUGAGACCCUGUCUCUA
rnacentral:sRNA from 1 species